UCGGGUAGCCGGGUGGUCGCUGCGUCGCGAGGGUUCGCGGCGCAGAGGAAAGUCCGCACUCCACAGGGCACGGCGCCGGGGAAAGCCCGGGAGGGGGUAACCCCUCGGAUAGGGCCACAGAAACAGACCGCCAGCGGCCCGAGGGCCUCUCGCCCUCGGGUGCGGGCAAGGGUGAAAAGGUGGGGUAAG
rnacentral:RNase_P_RNA from 1 species